GUAGUCUUCCCUUAAGAGAAGGGGAGCAUGCAGACGGACAGGUGCAGGAGCCAGAAUGAGUGCCCCUGGUCUCCAGCCCCACAGCAGCGUCCAGGAGUGGGUGCCUGCAGCUCCGAAAUCACAAUGGGAUCUGCAGUAAACAGAAUCCUGCUCAGAUAAUUUGAGAAAUUUUUCAAGUAAGAGUAUGAAUGAACGAAUGUCGAGACAUCUAGAGAUUAGCAGCUGUGGGAAGUCAUUGCCAGCUCUAAGCUGAAGAGCAAAGGAGCUGGAGCCAUCGCAUGAAUAUUUACACUUUAAAAUUCACAAAAGGACAUUCUCACAGGUUCGCUGGAGUUUAAUGAGUAGUUAAUAUAUCUGCACCAAAGUGACAGCAGCACCAUCUCACUUGCCACACAAGCUGGAGAGCAGUGGCAUGAUCAUAGAUUACUGCAAUCUAGACCUCCUGGCCUCAAGCUAUUCCUCCACUUCAGCCUCCCAAAGUGCUAGGAUUACAGGCAUGAGCCACCACACCUGGCCAAAUAUUUAGCUUUUUAAAAGAAAGGAGUUGGUCAUUAUUUGUAAAGAAAUCUGCCCAUUCCCUUAGUAAAAUCAGCCAGGUCAGUUACCGGUUCAGGGAUUAAAAUAAAUAAUUUGUAGUUGUGUUAUAAUAGACACUAUUUUCCAGGGUCGGCAAUGGUAAACAAUGCCCUUUAAGGGGAAAUGAUUAGAAAUAGAAACUUCGAGCACCCUGCCAUAGUGAAAUGUGGCCCUCUAUGGUAAAUUAAAGAUGGCCACAAAUAUUUUCCUAUGUUAUAUUGAGAGGUGAAGUCCAUUUCCCCUCUCCUUGAAUUUGUGCUGGCCUUAAUGAUUUGUCCAAUAGAAGGCACGAGGGAUAACAUUCUUAGACUUCUCAGGCUAGCUCAGAAGAAGUCUCAUAGCUUCCACUAGAUUUAUUAGAAUGUUGGUUCUCAGAUCAUUGAGAUGCCAUGUAAGAAGUUAGACUAUCCUAAGAAACUACAGGAAGACCCUGAGAUGACCUGAAGCAAGAGAGAGACAUAGCCAUCCAACAAGCCUCAGCUGUUUCAGGCCCUAAAGAUUUGAGUCAUCCUAGCUGAGGUUCCAAAUGUUGGGAUCAGUUCACAGGUUCCAGGAUAACCAGAUGACUGAGGAAUGUUGAAGAUUGCAGUGAUGGAAGUGCCUCAGUCAGCCUGGAAGACUGUAUGGAUGGAGGUUGCCUGGUCACACUGUCAUGUCCCUCUCUCCCUGAAAAAGAGACACAUUUGCCUUUGUGCAAGGCAAUACAUACAUUUGAUCUAUGUAUACACUUUGGUCUAUGCAUUCUGUUAUUUAACAUUCUAAUAAUGUUGAUGACCUUAAAAUAUGCUUGACAAUGAUCCUUGUAAAUCAUUAUUAUUCUGCCUUCUGCAAGAUAAGAAUUAUGGGCCAGGUAUGGCACUUAACGCCUAUAAUACAAACAUUUUGGAAGGCCAAGGCAGGAGGAUUGCUUGAGCUCAGGAGUUAGAGACCAGCUGGGGCAACAUAGUGAGACCUCAUCUCUACUAAAAAUAAAACAAAAAAAGUUAUGAGAGUGACACUGCACUCCAGCUUGGGUGACAGAGCGAGAUCCUGUAUCCAAAUAAAUAAAUAUCUAAUAUAGGAAUUAUCAAAUUCAACACAUAUUAAUUAUUUUCAUAUCCAUUAAUGGAAAAUAAUAAUGUGGGGAUGAUUCUUAAAAGGGAUUCUGGAAGUGGCUUCUUCAAUUAAAUAUAUUCAAAACUCAUUCCCGCUUACUACACAAGUCAAAGAGGAAUUGAAAAUGUGUGUGAUUCCCACUAAAUUAUUUUCCUUUCAUAUGGCUUGAUGUUACUGUCUUUGUGGAGUGGCUGAGAAAUGUCUCCUUCUUGCCUUUAUCUUCAAAGCCUCUGCCAAUGUGAAGUACAGGAGAGAGAGGCAAGAGCAGGGCCCACUAGUGGAUUCAGCUCAGCCUUAUUCCCCAGGGGAAAACACAUUCUUUUUCACUUUCCUGAGCUGCCUUAUCUGAUAAAAAUGAUUCUUACAUCUCCCAGCAAUGCCUUCUGAUUGUAAUGUAGUUUAUGCCACUGGUUUGCCUAUUUCUCAAAUAUAAACCUACACACACGUACACACAUUUGGCCUUAGCCUUUCUAAUUCCACUCUCAUCAGGACAGAUUGCACACCUGUAAACAUUCUUAGAUCAACUCCAGUAAUCAAUCCACAUUCAUGUAACCCCUGCAGAAUAAAGAUCAUUGGAGACCCUCAAGAUUGACUUCCCAUUUAAACCGUAAGAAAACAAGACCCCAAUGUGUCAGCUGCAGAACCACAAUAAGGACCCGAGUCCCAUGUCUUAUUGUUCAGUGGUUUUUCUAAGUUUCAAGUCUUCUUCUCAGUAAUGGUAAAUACUCUCUACGGCCAUAUCAUCCUGAACAUGCACAAUCUCAUUAACGAUGGCAAAUACUUUCUUCCAGAUGCUGAUGUGGAAAACCUAAUGUUCAUCCUUGAUUAAUAUUUUUCUCUUACAUCACAUAUCUCACCCACCCCUGUACCACCUGUUUCAAGCCAUCAUCACUUUACACCUGCAUUAUUGCAAUAUCCUCCUAAGAAGCUGCUCUUUUUUUUCACCACCUCCAACAUCAGCUCUUAACACAGCAGCCAAAAUGACCAUUUUAAAAUAAAAGUUAGAUCAUCUCUCUCUCUCAGUAUAAACCCUCUUUCUCAGAGUAAAAGCCAGGUCUAACAAUGACACCUCAUAAUUGUCCAUCUUAUCUCCUGACCUCAUUUCUUACCUCUCUCCUUCUCUAUCUCUUUUCCUUAUACCCUGGAAUCCUUGAACUUGAUCCAGACUCAGGACCUCUGCCUGGAACAUUCUACUCUCUGAUAGCUCUAGAACUAGAAUAUAAGGUAAAUAACACUUGCUGAUUUGAAAAAUAUACUACAAACCUAAGUGGUUUAAUACAAUGUCUUUUUUUUUUUGGCUAAUAUUACAGUCCAGUGAGAAUAUGACAGCACCUCUGGUUAGCUCUCUUCUAAGCAGAGAUUACGUCCUUGAUUUUGGUCCCAAAGAGAGAAAGAAAAAGCAAGGAGAAGAGUACAGUGAGUUUUAAGAGUCUGACCUGUAAAUGGCCUAUAUUUUUCCUUCCCACAUUUCAACAACUACUGCUCAGUCUCAUGACUAAUCUAUCUGCAAAGAGAUAAAUUCAGAAGCACAAAGCUAGCCUAAAUAUUAGAAUGCCCCCCUCUAGAUCUCUGCCACAUUAGUCCCCUGCUUUCCUUAGGAAGACAAGGAAAACUUUUUCUGGCUACCCUGCUUAAAAGAGCAGCACUUCCUAAAUUAAACGUUGCUCAGUGAUCUCCAAUCCUGCUUGUUUGUUUGCUUGUUUGAGACAGAGUCAUGCUGUCACCCAGGCUGGAGUUCAGUGGUGUGAUCUUGGCUCACUCUAAGCUCCACCUCAUGGGUUCAAGUGAUUCUCCUGCCUCAGCCUCCCAAGUAGCUGGGAUUACAGGUGCCCAGCACUAUGCCUGGCUAAUUUUUGUAUUUUUAGUAGAGACGGGGUUUCACCAUGUUGGCCAGGCUAGUCUCAAACUCCUGACCUCAAGUGAUCCAUCUGCCUCGGCCUCCCAAAGUGCUGGGAUUACAGGUGUGAGCCACUGCGCCCGGCCCAAUCCUGUUUUUUUUAAUGUCCCUGGACACCCAGCUCAAUUGCAUGUUUUGCUUUUCUUAAAGUUAGGUGAAGUCAGGCAAUGGAGCUUUUAGACAAGAAAAUGCAUAUAAACUGAGUGGAAUUGAUCAAACCUUGUCAUCCUGCUUCCUUAAAAUGCCUGUGUGCUGUUCUCUACACCCUUUCUUCAACCACCAACUGAACACAGGGUUCUAGAGUUCUCAGGAGGGCAGAUACAAGAGAGCAGGAGGGUGGGUUCCUGAAUGACCACAUGGAAGGCUUCCCACUAAUAAGAAAUCUUAGUAUUGGACUUCACAUAAACACUGAGAAAAUGGCUCUUUGGGAAGCCACUAAAAUUUUUUGAUUUAUCUAUUAUAGCAGUUAGUUAUAGCCUUCCCAUUUCAAUGUCCUAUUUCUCUGAAUGUGCUUUAUUUAAAACCACAUCACUUAUCACCAUCUGACAUAUUCUGUAUUUGCCUGUCACUUUUUCUCCUGUAUCUUCUGUCCAGAGAAAGUGUUGGCCAACUAUAACCCAAGAGCCAAAUCUAGCUUGCUUCCUGUUUUCAUAUGUAAUUAUUUUUUGGAAUAUAGCCACAGCUAUUAAUUUCUGUAUUCAGAGAGGAGGAGCUGUGUCUAUGCUACAACAGGAGAGUUCAGUAGUUGCAACAGAGAAACUGUAUGAUCUACAAACAAUAUUUACUAUCUGGCCCUUUACAGAAACAGUUUGCCAAUGUUUGUACUAGAAUGUAAACUCCAAGAAUGUAAAACCUUUGUCUCUUUAGUUUGCUGUUAUAUACCCAGCAUUAGAACAGUCUCUGGUCCAUUGCAGGUAUUCAUAUAAUAUUUGUUAAAUGCAUAAAUGAAUAAGUGAAUGAGUGUGCAGUAGGCCAAAAAUGUUCCAGAAAAAAAAUUCAUAUCUAAAUUUCUUGAACCUCUGAAUAUUACCUUACAUGAAAAAUCAGACAAACAAAAAUCAAUCAUUGCAUGUGAUUAAGUUAAAGAUCUUGACCUAAAAGAUUAUCCAGUAUUAGCCAGAUGGACUCGAAAUACAAUCACAUGUAUCUGUAUAAGAGGGAAGCAGAAAGAAAUUUGACCACACAGACAGAAAAGGAGAGGGGAUGUGAUCACACAGGCAGAGGUUAGACUGAUGUACCACAAGCCAAUGAAUGUUGGUGGCCACUAGAAAUAUUAUCUAAAGGAUUAGGAAUUAUCUGUUUAGAACUUUCCUGAUGGCCACACCCUCUAAACCCCCUGAUACUGAUUUCAGAUUUAUGACAUCCACAACUGUAAAAGAAUAAAUUUCUCCUGUUUAAGCCACCAAGUUUCCAGUAAUUUGUUACAGAGGCAGCAGGAAACCAAUACAGAGGGGAAAGUGACUUAAAACUACUUCUAAUUCCAAGAUAAUGCUCAAAAUGCUCAUGCAAAAACUACUUCUUGUGUCAACAUUCAGUCUAUAUAAGUGCUCUUGAAAUUAAUUAUCACUAUAAUUCAGUCUCAUGAGGAAAAAUAUUUUGGCUUUUUUUGUGAACCAAAAAUUUAUAGCAAUUCAUAAGUUAUAGUUUAUGGAUGAAAUUAAACAUAUUUGAGAUUAUUUUUAUAUUAGCACUUUAUAAAUCAGUUGCUGAAAUAGUCUGUUUUGAAAUAUUAGAUAUAACUGCCAGGAAUAAUUCUGAUAUUUUCUUUAACAUAUUUUAGUCAUUUCUUGAAUUGCAUUGUUUUAUGAUCAUAAAUUCUCAAACUAAUAAAAUUAAUUGCUGUUGAAAAAUAAGAAUUGUGAAUGUCUUCUGGGUGAAGGCUGAGCAUGUAAAAAGUUUUUUUUUUUCCUUAAUAAAAUGAGACUCAGGGGAGGAAGUUCCCUUCUUCUCCUUCAGAGAAUGUGGUCAUGAUCAUUUCUCCCUGCAAAGAUCUGGAAAGGCUGCAGCCGUUUUGGAAAUAUGGACUUACACUUGGCUGAUAGGCUGAGUCUGGGAGAGUGCAAAGAUGAAAAAACACCUAGCACAUGGAUCGUGUCACUGAGCUACUGAAUCAAUCAUGGAACCACGCUCCAUCUGUACUUUGUGUUCUCUCAUAGAAUAAAUAUUCACUUUGGGUUGUGUAUCCGUUACUU
rnacentral:lncRNA from 10 species